ACGCUCGACACCUACGGGAGGCGGCAGUGGGGAAUAUUGCACAAUGGGGGAAACCCUGAUGCAGCGACGCCGCGUGAGCGAAGAAGUAUUUCGGUAUGUAAAGCUCUAUCAGCAGGGAAGAUCAUGACGGUACCUGACUAAGAAGCUCCGGCUAAAUACGUGCCAGUAGCCGCGGUAAUCUGAGCGGGCUGGCAAGGC
rnacentral:rRNA from 1 species